rnacentral:rRNA from 1 species
UACGUAGGGGGCAAGCGUUGUCCGGAAUCAUUGGGCGUAAAGAGCGUGUAGGCGGCCUGGUAAGUCCGCUGUGAAAGUCCAGGGCUCAACCCUGGAAUGCCGGUGGAAACUGUCAGGCUCGAGUCCGGAAGAGGCGAGUGGAAUUCCUGGUGUAGCGGUGAAAUGCGCAGAUAUCAGGAGGAACGCCGGUGGCGAAGGCGGCGACCUGGUCCUUGACUGACGCUGAGGCGCGAAGGCUAGGGUAGCAAACAGG